GUGCUCACUUCGGCAGCAUAUAAACUAAAAUUGGAAUGAUACAGAGAUUAGUACGGCCCCUGCACGAGGAUGACAUGCAAAUAUGUGAAGCAUUCCAUACUUUU